CAGCCGCCGCGGUAACACGGAGGAUCCGAGCGUUAUCCGGAUUUAUUGGGUUUAAAGGGUGCGUAGGCGGCCUGGUAAGUCAGGGGUGAAAGACGGCAGCUUAACUGUCGCAGUGCCUUUGAUACUGCCGGGUUUGAAUGCACUUGAGGUAGGCGGAAUGUGACAAGUAGCGGUGAAAUGCAUAGAUAUGUCACAGAACACCAAUUGCGAAGGCAGCUUACUAAAGUGUGAUUGACGCUGAGGCACGAAAGCGUGGGGAUCAAACAGGAUUAGAUACCCCCGUAGUCCCUGUCUCUUAUAC
rnacentral:rRNA from 1 species